rnacentral:rRNA from 1 species
UACGUAGGGUGCGAGCGUUGUCCGGAAUUAUUGGGCGUAAAGAGCUCGUAGGCGGUCUGUCGCGUCGGGAUGUGAAAGCCCGGGGCUUAACCCCGGGUCUGCAUUCGAUACGGGCAGACUAGAGUGUGGUAGGGGAGAUCGGAAUUCCUGGUGUAGCGGUGAAAUGCGCAGAUAUCAGGAGGAACACCGGUGGCGAAGGCGGAUCUCUGGGCCAUUACUGACGCUGAGGAGCGAAAGCGUGGGGAGCGAACAGG